UACGUAGGGUGCAAGCGUUAUCCGGAAUUAUUGGGCGUAAAGAGCUCGUAGGCGGUUUGUCGCGUCUGCUGUGAAAACUGGGGGCUCAACCCCCAGCCUGCAGUGGGUACGGGCAGACUAGAGUGCGGUAGGGGAGAUUGGAAUUCCUGGUGUAGCGGUGGAAUGCGCAGAGAUCCGAUAGAAGACCGGUGGCGAAGGCGGCCCCCUGGGCAGUAACUGACACUGAGGCGCGACAGCGUGGGGAGCAAACAGG
rnacentral:rRNA from 1 species